rnacentral:rRNA from 1 species
AGCGAACGCUGGCGGCAGGCUUAACACAUGCAAGUCGAACGCCCCGCAAGGGGAGUGGCAGACGGGUGAGUAACACGUGGGAACGUACCCUUUGGUUCGGAAUAACUUGGGGAAACUCAAGCUAAUACCGGAUAAGCCCUUAUGGGGAAAGGUUUACUGCCGAAGGAUCGGCCCGCGUCUGAUUAGCUAGUUGGUGAGGUAAUGGCUCACCAAGGCGACGAUCAGUAGCUGGUCUGAGAGGAUGAUCAGCCACGCUGGGACUGAGACACGGCCCAGACUCCUACGGGAGGCAGCAGUGGGGAAUAUUGGACAAUGGGGGCAACCCUGAUCCAGCCAUGCCGCAUGAGUGAUGAAGGCCUUAGGGUUGUAAAGCUCUUUUACCCGGGACGAUAAUGACUGUACCGGGAGAAUAAGCCCCGGCUAACUUCGUGCCAGCCGCCGCAGUAA